AAAGCAGGGAUUGUGUGUAUCGACGUUGUGCUAAUUUGUCAUUGCUGCAAUAUUCUUUUUUGUGGGAAGAUGGGCAGUUGUAUUUCAUUAUCUUGUUGAAAACCUUCAACAAUCAUCUUCCCGGCAUUU